CUCAUCGUCAUCAUCAGGAAGGGGCUGGCUAGCAGCAGCAGCAAGCUCCGCUUCAUGUUGUUGCUGUGCAGCCAAAUCAAUUUGCACUUCUGGUGGAGCGAGCGCAGGAGACUCAACAAAGUGCAAGUUAGGAUCCCCAGCAAGCUUCCUGGCAAGGUACAGGAAAGGCUUCUCAAAGUUGUAAUUACUCUUAGCUGAUAUUUCAUAGUACUGCAAGUUCUUUUUCCUGUGGAAAGUAAC